ACCCUCUGACAAUGGGCAAAGAGACACCUAGUUAGUGGUGUUGUUCUUCUAUCAGUCAGGGGCAGAGCAGAUGGCAGUCCUUUCUUUGUUCUAUCUUCAUGUCUGGCAUGGUGGCCAAAGGUAUCUUACACCUAGGACUCGUAA